AAAGAAACCAACAGGGAUUGCCUCAGUAACGGCGAGUGAAGCGGCAAGAGCUCAAAUUUGAAAGCUGGCCCCUUCGGGGUCCGCAUUGUAAUUUGCAGAGGAUGCUUCGGGUGCAGCCCCCGUCUAAGUGCCCUGGAACGGGCCGUCAUAGAGGGUGAGAAUCCCGUCUGGGACGGGGUGUCUGCGUCCGUGUGAAGCUCCUUCGACGAGUCGAGUUGUUUGGGAAUGCAGCUCUAAAUGGGUGGUAAAUUUCAUCUAAAGCUAAAUACUGGCCGGAGACCGAUAGCGCACAAGUAGAGUGAUCGAAAGAUGAAAAGCACUUUGAAAAGAGAGUUAAACAGCACGUGAAAUUGUUGAAAGGGAAGCGUUUGCGACCAGACUCGCCCGCGGGGUUCAGCCGGCAUUCGUGCCGGUGUACUUCCCCGUGGGCGGGCCAGCGUCGGUUUGGGCGGCCGGUCAAAGGCCCUCGGAAUGUAUCACCUCUCGGGGUGUCUUAUAGCCGAGGGUGCAAUGCGGCCUGCCCGGACCGAGGAACGCGCUUCGGCUCGGACGCUGGCGUAAUGGUCGUAAAUGAC
rnacentral:rRNA from 1 species